ACUGGCUGUACCAGUGCUUCUCAGAUUAGAUGCCCAUCAGAGUCCCUUCAGGUUACUUGCCACAAUUAUCGAAGCCAGACCUGCCUCCCAAACCUUCUGAGUGGUGGUUCUGGUGCACACUCAGGCAGGAGAAGCUUUGCUCAACGCGUGAACGGUCUUGAAGCUCCCGAAGGACUUGUGAUCUUGUCAUGGGCAUGAGUCCUCAACAUCCGGUCUUAUUCACUUGAUUAAUUUUUAAUCGGGGAAUCAUGCUGAGCUAUUUCCAGACUAUGAGUGGAGGCAGCUCUGUACUGCUGUCCCAGUGGAAUUCUGAUUAAUGCACUUUCUCUCUGGUCCCUGUGGACCACCAGUUUCCUGGUCCUCCAACUAUAUUUGUUCUGUUGAGAGGGAGGCAGCAAGUUGGAGAAAGAUCCAUUUGCUCCUCCCACUCAAGGGAGUUACACCUGGAGCCAUCUGCUCCCCUCCAAAGAGUAAUAAACUUCUCGCCUCCAAACUAUGGAAACAUUGCAAGAUUGUAAACUCAGAGAUGCUUGUCUUAUCUUCUCCCUGGGGACAUUUAUUUAUAUUCCAAAGGGAGAGAAGAAGGAGAGCAGCUGUUCCCCUUGUGUAUGAACUCCCAGAUUCAUAUUUAUGGGCUUCCUCACCUACAGUACAGACCCUCGUAUAUGUUGGGUGACAUCUAUCUGGCUUUCAUCAUGAAUGAUGUUCCAUGAAACAGAUUUCUGCUCUAACGUUGUGCGAAGGCUUGCAUUAACCAUGUACGUCCAACAUGAAAUAUAACUUCCCCAUUCAUCUUCAGAAAUGUUUAAAGCAAUUCCAAUCCAAGAUGAUACCAAUCCGUAAGUACUGUGGUCUACCUCAUGGAUGGAGGAUUCUGAAAUUUGGGAUUGAAGGAAAUAGGAAAGGAUCAGAGAGAGAGCCUAGGAAGAUAACAUCAAUUUUGAAGGAGGAAGUGAUAUCUCUUCUGAAACAAAAGAUGAGAAGGGAUGGAGGCAAAGACAGAGAUAUUCUAAUGUGGAUAGAAGGAGAGACGAAGGAAUAUACAAGUGAUGGUUCAAAAUUUUAAGGAAAGAAAGAAGUAAGGGGAAGAUUUAAAGUAAUCUGCGUGAAAAGGAACACCGGUUAGUUCUGAUAUGACCAGCCCCAUUGGGGUGACAGAAGUCAAUAGAAGAGUAACAACAACAAAAAGAGCGAAAAAGGUCAUUUCAACAGUUCAUCAAAUUUCUACGAGUGUUACCAUUUUAAGAUACUGUGUAGGCUCAGGGUCAGAGAAGAUAAAAUCCCAUUCCUUGCGGUUGUCACACUUAAUGGGAAGGCCACCACCAGAGCCCAGUUGAAAACAGACAAAAGUGAAAUACUAGCAUAAUCACAUGACAAUCUUCAACAAUGCUUCUCGGACUUAGGAGGAGAGGGAGAUGAGUUGGGGUUGUGAAGGUUCAGGUCUACCAAUGACCUUGUGGAGGUAUUCAAGGCAGUACCAGUCCUGGUGAACCCGAUGCCCUGCCUAGGAAAGGAGAUAUGUAGAGUAAGAGAAAGUACUGCUCCUGUGUAGAGGGAGUGGAACAGGUGUCCAGAAAGGUGGUGCCACCUAUAAGGGGCCAUCAAUUUAGAGAUCUUUUAAGUGAUAAGAGACCCCGAGGUUAAGCCCUGAGGGUGAGUCACUGAGACAGUGUAGAGGGACGUGGACGAGCAAGAAGUGUUGUGAAGAUGUAAUAAGGCCUUGCAUAUGUCAUAAUGUGAUGUAAACAAAUAGGAAGUACUAUACAGGGAUUGUGGGGAGUUGGCUCCCCACAAAUCUGAGAGAGACCAGAGCAUGUAAGGUCCUGCUCACCCAUGAGACUAUCUACAGGAAUUCUGAUUCUAAAGUCGUCUCCAUUUAUAUUGGCUUAUCUUUUUGAGACACUAAGUUGUUUCUGAGCUGCCUUGCCAUGAAGAUUCAUUACAUUUUCUUAGCUCUUCUUUUCUUUGGCCUGUUAUCUGUCUCAGGAACUGAAGAUACUCAUGAGGUCGUUAGCUUCCUGGACUGUAAAAAUCAAACAUUGUGCAAUUCCUCAAAUGAGGAUGGAAGCUGUUCUCGUGCUAACCUAGAGCUUGGAAUGUGUGUCUUGCGUUUUAGACAUGAGAAGCUAACCUUAAAGAAGUAGAAAAUCAGGAAGACAGGAUGCUCAACUCCCUUGUCUUAUGAAAAAAUAAAGUUUGUUUUCUUUUCUCUCU